GACGAACGCUGGCGGCGUGCUUAACACAUGCAAGUCGAACGGAAAGGCCCUGCUUUUGUGGGGUGCUCGAGUGGCGAACGGGUGAGUAACACGUGAGUAACCUGCCCUUGACUUUGGGAUAACUUCAGGAAACUGGGGCUAAUACCGGAUAGGAGCUCCUGCUGCAUGGUGGGGGUUGGAAAGUUUCGGCGGUUGGGGAUGGACUCGCGGCUUAUCAGCUUGUUGGUGGGGUAGUGGCUUACCAAGGCUUUGACGGGUAGCCGGCCUGAGAGGGUGACCGGCGACAAUGGGACUGCGAUACGGCGCAGACGCCUACGGGAGGCAGCAGUGGGGAAUAUUGCACAAUGGGCGGAAGCCAGAGGCAGCAGCGCCGCGUGCGGGAUAACGGCCUUCGGGUGAUAAACCGCUUUCGCCUGUGACGAAGCGUGAGUGACGGUAAUGGGUAAAGAAGCACCGGCUAACUACGUG
rnacentral:rRNA from 1 species